CAGAGAACAUGCCCUUUAGGGGGUAUAUCUCCCACCCUUUGUUUACAAUACCUUUGUUGCUUUGGUGGGCCCGUCUUUUAGACCACCGGCCUUGGCUGGUCUGUGCCCGCCAGAGGACCAAACAAUUCCUUUUAUUAUGUUGUCUGAGUCCAAAUAAUUUUUA
rnacentral:misc_RNA from 1 species